rnacentral:rRNA from 1 species
UUUUUUAAAGGAGUAAAGUGCCACUACGUGUAGUGUAUGCAAGUACCUUACGAUAAGCAUCGGCUAAUUCCGUGCCAGCAGCCGCGUAAUACGGAGAUGCAAGUGUAUCCGGAUUUAUUGGGUUUAAAGGGUGCGUAGGUGGUCUAAUAAGUCAGUGUGAAAUCUCUUUGCUUAACAAGGAAAUUGCCAUUGAAACUGUUAGACUUGAGAAUGGACGAGGUAGGCGGAAUUCGUAGUGUAGCGGUGAAAUGCAUAGAUAUUACGAAGAACUCCAAUAGUGUAGACUGCUUACCAGACCAUAUCUGACACUAAGGCACGAAAGUGUGGGUAUCAAACAGGAUUAGAUACCCUGGUAGUCCACACAGUAAACGAUGAAUACUAACUGUUUGCGAUAUACAGCAAGUGGUCGAGCGAAAGCGUUAAGUAUUCCACCUGGGAAGUAUGCCGGCAACGGUGAAACUCAAAGGAAUUGACGGGGGCCCGCACAAGCGGAGGAACAUGUGGUUUAAUUCGAUAAUACGCGAGGAACCUUACCCGGGCUCGAACGAUAUUUGAAUACAUCCGAAAAGAUGUAGCUAGCAAUAGCAAAUACCGAGGUGCUGCAUGGUUGUCGUCAGCUCGUGCCGUGAGGUGUCGACUUAAGUGUCAUAACGAGCGCAACCCUUACCGAUAGUUACCAUCAGAUAAUGCUGGGGACUCUAUUGGGACUGCCACCGUAAGGUGUGAGGAAGGAGAGGAUGACGUCAAAUCAGCACGGCCCUUAUGUCCGGGGCGACACACGUGUUACAAUGGGAGAAACAAAGGGUCGCUACCUGGCAACAGGAUGCUAAUCUCGAAAAUCUCUCUCAGUUCGGAUUGGAGUCUGCAACUCGACUCCAUGAAGCUGGAUUCGCUAGUAAUCGCACAUCAGCCAUGGUGCGGUGAAUACGUUCCCGGGCCUUGUACACACCGCCCGUCAAGCCAUGGAAGCUGGAAGUACCUGAAGUAUGUAACUGAAAAGAGCGUCCUAAGGUAAA